AACAGAUAGUACAGUGGAAGUACGUUGGGCUCAUAUCCCAAAGGUCCCAGGAUCAAGACCUGGUCGUGCUA
rnacentral:tRNA from 1 species